UACGUAGGGUGCAAGCGUUAAUCGGAAUUACUGGGCGUAAAGCGUGCGCAGGCGGUGAUGUAAGACAGAUGUGAAAUCCCCGGGCUUAACCUGGGAAUUGCAUUUGUGACUGCACGGCUAGAGUGUGUCAGAGGGGGGUAGAAUUCCACGUGUAGCAGUGAAAUGCGUAGAUAUCAAGAGGAACACCUGAGGUGAAGACGGGUUGCUGGGCUGACACUGACGCUGAGGCGCGAAAGCCAGGGGAGCAAACGGG
rnacentral:rRNA from 1 species